rnacentral:rRNA from 1 species
CACCACAACGGGUGGAGCCUGCGGUUUAAUUGGACUCAACGCCGGGCAGCUCACCGGAUAAGACAGCUGGAUGAUAGCCGGGCUGAAGACUCUGCUUGACUAGCUGAGAGGAGGUGCAUGGCCGUCGUCAGUUCGUACUGUGAAGCAUCCUGUUAAGUCAGGCAACGAGCGAGACCCACGCCAACAGUUGCCAGCAUGUCCUCCGGGAUGAUGGGGACACUGUUGGGACCGCCUCUGCUAAAGAGGAGGAAGGAAUGGGCAACGGUAGGUCAGCAUGCCCCGAAUUAUCCGGGCUACACGCGGGCUACAAUGGUCAGGACAAUGGGUAUCGACACCGAGAGGUGGAGGCAAUCUCCUAAACCUGUCCUUAGUUCGGAUUGUGGGCUGCAACUCGCCCACAUGAAGCUGGAAUCCGUAGUAAUCGCGUUUCAAAAUAGCGCGGUGAAUAUGUCUCUGCUCCUU